rnacentral:rRNA from 1 species
AGUGAACGCUGGCGGUAGGCCUAACACAUGCAAGUCGAACGGCAGCACAGUAAGAGCUUGCUCUUACGGGUGGCGAGUGGCGGACGGGUGAGGAAUACAUCGGAAUCUACUUUUUCGUGGGGGAUAACGUAGGGAAACUUACGCUAAUACCGCAUACGACCUACGGGUGAAAGCAGGGGAUCUUCGGACCUUGCGCGAUUGAAUGAGCCGAUGUCGGAUUAGCUAGUUGGCGGGGUAAAGGCCCACCAAGGCGACGAUCCGUAGCUGGUCUGAGAGGAUGAGCAGCCACACUGGAACUGAGACACGGUCCAGACUCCUACGGGAGGCAGCAGUGGGGAAUAUUGGACAAUGGGCGCAAGCCUGAUCCAGCCAUACCGCGUGGGUGAAGAAGGCCGUCGGGUUGUAAAGCCCUUUUGUGGGAAAAGAAAAGCAGCAGGUUAAUACCCCGCUGUUCUGACGGUACCCAAAGAAUAAGCACCGGCUAACUUCG